CAACGCCGCGUGGAGGAUGAGGUCCUUCGGGACGUAAACUCCUUUCGAUCGGGACGAUAAUGACGGUACCGGAAGAAGAAGCCCCGGCUAACUUCGUGC
rnacentral:rRNA from 1 species